GGUGAACGCUGGCGGCGUGCCUAAUACAUGCAAGUCGAGCGAACAGACGAGGAGCUUGCUCCUCUGACGUUAGCGGCGGACGGGUGAGUAACACGUGGAUAACCUACCUAUAAGACUGGGAUAACUUCGGGAAACCGGAGCUAAUACCGGAUAAUAUAUUGAACCGCAUGGUUCAAUAGUGAAAGACGGUUUUGCUGUCACUUAUAGAUGGAUCCGCGCCGCAUUAGCUAGUUGGUAAGGUAACGGCUUACCAAGGCAACGAUGCGUAGCCGAUCUGAGAGGGUGAUCGGCCACACUGGAACUGAGACACGGUCCAGACUCCUACGGGAGGCAGCAGUAGGGAAUCUUCCGCAAUGGGCGAAAGCUUGACGGAGCAACGCCGCGUGAGUGAUGAAGGUCUUCGGAUCGUAAAACUCUGUUAUUAGGGAAGAACAAAUGUGUAAGUAACUAUGCACGUCUUGACGGUACCUAAUCAGAAAGCCACGGCUAACUACGUG
rnacentral:rRNA from 1 species